rnacentral:rRNA from 1 species
AACGCACCUUGCGCUCCCUGGUAUUCCGGGGAGCAUGCCUGUUUGAGUGUCGUGAAAUCAUCAUGGUCAUGAUCUUUAAUUAAUCAUGGCUUGGUUUUGGAGGUUAUGUUGGCUUUUUAUUAAGUUGACUCCUCUUAAAUACAUUAGCUCAGUGUUUAAUGCUUAGAGCGGUUCACGGUGUGAUAAUUAUCUUUCGUCGAGGAACGGUCCCUUUACGGGGAUCGGCCAGCUGCUUGUAGGGUUUGCUUUCCAACCGUCUUAGGACACACACUUCAUUGUGGCUUCAGCCUCAAAUCAGGUAGGACUACCCGCUGAACUUAA